rnacentral:misc_RNA from 1 species
UCUCCGUAGGUGAACCUGCGGAGGGAUAAUUACUGAGUGAGGGCUCCGGUCAGACCUCAAACCCUUUGUGAACCACACUUGUUGCUUCGGGGGCGACCCUGCCGCUUCGGCGGUGCGGCGCCCCCGGAGGCCAUUAAACACUGCAUCAUUGCGUCGGAGUUAAAGUAAAUUAAACAAAACUUUCAACAACGGAUCUCUUGGUUCUGGCAUCGAUGAAGAACGCAGC